CCUUUUCCUGUCUCUCCUUUCUUCCGUUCUUUUUUUUUUUCUUUCUCUUUUU
rnacentral:ribozyme from 14 species